rnacentral:rRNA from 1 species
UACGUAGGGGGCUAGCGUUGCUCGGAAUCACUGGGCGUAAAGGGUGCGUAGGCGGGUCUUUAAGUCAGGGGUGAAAUCCUGGAGCUCAACUCCAGAACUGCCUUUGAUACUGAAGAUCUUGAGUGCGGGAGAGGUGAGUGGAACUGCGAGUGUAGAGGUGAAAUUCGUAGAUAUUCGCAAGAACACCAGUGGCGAAGGCGGCUCACUGGCCCGAUACUGACGCUGAGGCACGAAAGCGUGGGGAGCAAACAGG